GCUUCCCUGCAAACUGGCUGCCGAGGAGCUACUUGAUUCCUUAUUAUUGCUCCUGAUCCCCAGGCUCCCUCCCGCCCCGCGCUACCCCAGGGAUUUGUGGUGGAGGGGCUAUUUGGGGCAGCAUGGAUGUGGCAGCGCUAUGAGAAUCCUCCUGGACUUCUCUGUCCUAGGGGGCUGCAGCAGCUGGCUGUGGGUGGAGGAGAGGUGAGGCCCCUCCCUAAGGAAAUUGGUGGGGGUAGGGGUGUGCUUCCAAGCAGGGGGUGCUGUAGUAGGGGGCAGCCUGUGAGGGGCAGGAGGCUGCGUGGUUCAGGGUGAGGGCAGGAGGUUGCUGGACAGUGGGAUUUCCUGGAAGGGGCUCCAUCCCCUGAACAGGAGGCUUCCUGGGGCAGCCUCAAAGGCAGAGGAGAACAGGCAGCAGCCGGCUGCCCACAGCAGCAGCAGCGGAGGAGGAGGAGGAGGAGGAGGGAGCAGCACCAUGACUCAUUUGCAGGCAGGUCUGUCCCCAGAGACGCUGGAGAAAGCCCGGCUGGAACUGAAUGAGAACCCAGACACACUGCACCAGGACAUCCAGGAGGUGCGGGACAUGGUGAUCACGAGGCCGGACAUUGGCUUCCUCCGCACAGACGAUGCCUUCAUCCUGCGGUUCCUGCGGGCCAGGAAGUUCCAGCACUUUGAGGCGUUCCGCCUGCUGGCCCAGUACUUUGAGUACCGCCAGCAGAACCUGGACAUGUUCAAGAGCUUCAAGGCCACCGACCCAGGCAUCAAGCAGGCGCUCAAGGAUGGCUUCCCUGGUGGGCUUGCCAAUCUCGACCACUAUGGCAGGAAGAUCCUGGUCCUUUUUGCUGCCAACUGGGACCAGAGCAGGUACACGUUAGUGGAUAUUUUGCGUGCCAUCCUUCUUUCUUUGGAAGCCAUGAUUGAAGACCCCGAGCUUCAAGUGAAUGGAUUUGUUUUGAUUAUAGACUGGAGCAACUUCACUUUCAAGCAGGCCUCCAAACUUACACCAAGCAUGCUGAGAUUAGCUAUAGAGGGUCUUCAGGACAGCUUUCCAGCUCGGUUUGGAGGAAUUCAUUUCGUCAAUCAGCCAUGGUAUAUCCAUGCCCUCUACACGGUUAUACGACCCUUUCUAAAGGAGAAAACACGAAAAAGGAUAUUUCUUCAUGGAAAUAACCUCAACAGUCUGCAUCAACUGAUUCAUCCUGAGAUUCUACCUUCUGAGUUUGGAGGAAUGUUGCCACCAUAUGACAUGGGAACAUGGGCCAGAACACUGCUAGACCACGAAUAUGAUGAUGACAGUGAAUUCAAUGCAGAUUCCUACAACACUUCCUCGAAAGACACAGAAAAGGACCUCUCUCCCAAAUCCAUGAAGAGGUCUCAGUCAGUUGUGGAUCCUGGGGUUCUAAAACGUAUGGAUAAAAAUGAGGAAGAAAACAUGCAGCCUUUGCUUUCACUUGACUAACAGCUCCUGAGCAUCAAUUGUGAACUGAGGUGGAAGGUACUGCCUUUCAGCAACAAGCAGAAUUUUGGAAUGGAAUGUACCAGCUAGAAAUCUAUUUAUUCAUGUUAAUGUAGCAUAAUGUUAUCAGGCAGCAGAUUUUGCUGGUCUGCCUGAAAUAUGGGUGCCCUGGAAUGAAAAGGAAAACAAAAAUCAAUAAUUUAUUCUGUAAGUGCCAACUUGUUUGUAAAUACAAUGUAAUCCUCUGCUUUGAAUUUGUAAAUCAUUGUAAGCAAGCAGAAUGGAAAAGUGACUAUUAAAAUGUCUCAGUGAAUGCACUAAAAAAGGUGAAAAUUGCAUACACAGAAAGAGGAAGCAGAAACAUCAAGGCUACUAAUUUUUGUCCUUUUUCAAGGAAGCCAUAUUGCAGCUGCCCUAACAACUGCUUUUUUCCCCCUCAAUGACGGUUGUAUAGUGUUCAGAGGUAAAGCGGGAACAUAACAACUUGGAAGGAUCGGUGUAAGCAGUAGAGUUUCCUAACGGUAGGAAUUGAUUUCACAAAUAACUUUGUGGCUUGGACCGUGACUUGGCAUAAGUAAUGGAGCAUUGAGAAAAGAGGUGACAGACAAGCAGGAAACCACAUUCUUCUACUGUUUGGCUGGAAGAUUUUGUGAGGUUGCUUUACCUUUACUUUUUCAAGCAAGGUUUGGGUUUGAAAGCUGCUUGACUCAUUAUCCUAAGCUGGGGUUUACAGUGCGUGCCAUAGCAAAAUCACUUCUAUUGCAUAUGGAGUGUACUUCAAGAAUUUUUCCUGAACUCUCUGCUCCCUUGAAAUGAGAACGUAUUUAUCCAAAAACAAUGUAAUAACCAGUAUUUUGAAUAUAAAGAGAAGCAUCAGCAGGUUAAGGGUUAAUUUCUCAUUCCUGUGCACUGGGUGACUGAAUACAUAUAUAUAUUUUUACCAAACUCUUACAAACAUAUGAAGUGACAUUGUUAGAUGAGUAUAUUUAAUCAAGGGUUUAUAAAAACAAAAGCAUACCUAUUCAAUGUACUUAGAUAUAUUAUAGAUUGUAUAUUGAGGCAAUGUCAUCAUUAAUGUAGUAAAACUUUCUGUAUAGCGUCCCACUUCAGACAAGGAUUAAUAUGAAUAAGUUGUGGUCAGAAAUUGCCGCCUAUGUGUUUAAGCCACCUUUGUUUUGGUUGUGGUGUGUAUAUAUAGAACAUGUGCCAUAAUGGAGAAAUACAUUUUACCUCAAAAAAACAACAGGUCUUGAUACAGACUGGACAAAAUCAUCUGGAAUUUGGGGGCUAUAUUUUCACCUAUGGUGUAUACUUGUGUAUGUGCAGUUCAUUGUGCGUAAAGACAGGAGUUUGCCAGUGAAACUGCCAGACAUCUUCUGUCAGUAUUUGACACUGCUAUCAAACCAGAAUAGGAAGACACAGGAUAUUCAAGACAAUAGUAAUGAAGAGUAGAGAUGUAGUAGGAACAUACCAGAGUCUGUCAGGAAACAAAUAGUGAAAGUAGGCUAUAUUUGAAUGUGUAUAUAACCAAGACCUUAUCCUUUAUGAAGAAGAAAGCUACCAGCAUUUUUUCCAGGAGAGUCUCAUUACUGAGAAACUGGGAUUUGGUACAUUUUGGUUGAAAUUGAUGCCUACCUGGAGCUGUUUCAUGCAGCAUGAGCAAACAUUUCUCUGAUUUGAAUAAGAACCUGAAAAUAGAGAAGAGAAAUAAACAACUUUAUUUUAUUUUGUCUGUAUUCUUUCACAAACCUUUCUGUUACCUAGUUAGGAUGUAUGGAAAAGUACCUGUCAGCUUCUUUUUUUUUUUUAAUCAAAGUCAUGCUUUAGCAAGCAGAAAUCGGUCAGAUCUUGUUCAUAGAUAGGCUUAUUGUGUAAGACCUGAUUUUUGGACUGAUAAUGGUUCUUUAUCUUCAUUAUUAUAGAAUACAGAGGUUUAGGUUUUGGUAUAUAUCUGGGGUAUUAAAGGCAGGGUGCAUCUUUAAGUGUGGGUAGGAAAAUCCUGUGUUCCUAGCUUUUUGUUUUUAGGACCCUUUAGGUUUUAGGUCCCAUAUUACACUGAAAUCUGGUUAAUUAGUCACUGGGUAACUUGUUAUUUUUGUCUUAUUAAAUGGCACACUACUCCCUGCCAGAGGUCCGUUGAUUUAUGCAGAAAAUACUUUGACUAAAUCAUCAUCUGUGAAAGCAUAAUUAGUAAUUUCCAAAGGUACAUCACAAUGUACAUCAAAUCGCAAUGAAAAUCUGCUCCUGAUAAUUAGGCAGCUUAAAAGGUACUGACCUAUGCCCUCCAUAGCAUAUGUCAAGCCUAGUGAUGCUUACAAAGCAUUGGAUUCUCUUCGACAUUUCUUGCUUCGACAACAUGUAGACAAUCAACAGUUCCAUUUUGGCGAACUAUCUUCUCCUUUGGUGAUGAGUGCAUGUAAGUGUGCAAAGCAAAAGCCUUCAAGUGAUUACUUUACUUCCUCAUAAUCAUGUAAUAAUUAUAUAAAUGACAUUCUGAAUUGCAGUAAGAAACAGUACAUUAAGCAUUUAUCUAAUAAUGCAGUUCUUGUAUAGUAAGCCAUAGUAUAUAUAAUUUGCACUUGGAAUGUUUGUAAUAUAGUUUCCCUUCAUUAUAAAUGUCUAAACCAUUCUUAAA